GUUUUGAGAAAAGAAAAGCUCUAUGCCAAUCUAAAGAAGUGCACUUUUUGCACAGAUAACUUGGUCUAAUCUAGUGUGUCAUAUCUAGAGGCGAUCAUUAUAGGGUAGUAUCAAGAGACUUUCCGCCUCUCUUGUGUCACCUUUCGAUCCACAUCCCUUGAUCGUUUGUUGCUUUCGGGCUCAUUCGGUGCAAGGCUUAUCCCUUACCAAUUUCAGAGUGUAUUCCUUGGGAGGUUUUUAUCAUUUGGUAUCAGAGCCACUCUGAAAGCGGUAUUCACUUCUGUUAUUCACCAUUCUCAUCUAUCCAUCUUCUAAAAAAAAAAAGAAAAAAAAAAGUUUUGUUAUUUAUGUUCUACAAAUCUGCUGGAUCUUUUGGGAAUUGUGUAUUCAAGUUUUUCUUUCUUCGGAGAGCAAGAUUUGAGGACAAAUCUUUUUGAAGAGGAGGAGUAUGAUGUGAUCAUGGGCUGAUAUAUGAAUCUACGGACAUGAAAGACAUUCAGAAAUUGAUCCAUGAUGUUAGGUAGCAUGUCCAGCCCAUUUUUAUCAUGUUACAAGCCCAAGAAGAUUCAAAAUCAAGUGGUUUCUUUGCUGUCCAAAGAGAGUGACGAAAAUUAGGUGGUUAAUUGCAUGGAAAGCUUCUCUCUCCUACAUGCAAAGAAUGCUUGUUUCAAGAACACUCUCUCUCCUCCAUGCACUAGUUUUAUCAUUUCCAAUGUAAUAACUAUCUAGCUUUGUGAGCAAGUUUAGUCUCUUAUAAAUAAGUUGUAAUCUCCAAUGAAAUAAAAUAAGCUUUGAGUGAUUAUUUUUGGAACCUUGAGAGUGAUUCUCAAACUUGUUUUCGAUCAUGGUGUGUCAUAUCCAUUGGUAAAAACUUUUAUGAUUGUUGGUGUGUAAUAUCCUUCAGUCUAACUUGGUCUAAUCUAGUGUGUCAUAUCUAGAGGCGAUCAUUAUAGGGUAGUAUCAAGAGACUUUCCGCCUCUCUUGUGUCACCUUUCGAUCCACAUCCCUUGAUCGUUUGUUGCUUUCGGGCUCAUUCGGUGCAAGGCUUAUCCCUUACCAAUUUCAGAGUGUAUUCCUUGGGAGGUUUUUAUCAUUUGGUAUCAGAGCCACUCUGAAAGCGGUAUUCACUUCUGUUAUUCACCAUUCUCAUCUAUCCAUCUUCUAAAAAAAAAAGAAAAAAAAAAG
rnacentral:lncRNA from 1 species